AGAGUUUGAUCAUGGCUCAGAUUGAACGCUGGCGGCAGGCCUAACACAUGCAAGUCGAGCGGUAGAGAGAAGCUUGCUUCUCUUGAGAGCGGCGGACGGGUGAGUAAUGCCUAGGAAUCUGCCUGGUAGUGGGGGAUAACGUUCGGAAACGGACGCUAAUACCGCAUACGUCCUACGGGAGAAAGCAGGGGACCUUCGGGCCUUGCGCUAUCAGAUGAGCCUAGGUCGGAUUAGCUAGUUGGUGAGGUAAUGGCUCACCAAGGCGACGAUCCGUAACUGGUCUGAGAGGAUGAUCAGUCACACUGGAACUGAGACACGGUCCAGACUCCUACGGGAGGCAGCAGUGGGGAAUAUUGGACAAUGGGCGAAAGCCUGAUCCAGCCAUGCCGCGUGUGUGAAGAAGGUCUUCGGAUUGUAAAGCACUUUAAGUUGGGAGGAAGGGUUGUAGAUUAAUACUCUGCAAUUUUGACGUUACCGACAGAAUAAGCACCGGCUAACUCUGUGCCAGCAGCCGCGGUAAUACAGAGGGUGCAAGCGUUAAUCGGAAUUACUGGGCGUAAAGCGCGCGUAGGUGGUUUGUUAAGUUGGAUGUGAAAUCCCCGGGCUCAACCUGGGAACUGCAUUCAAAACUGACUGACUAGAGUAUGGUAGAGGGUGGUGGAAUUUCCUGUGUAGCGGUGAAAUGCGUAGAUAUAGGAAGGAACACCAGUGGCGAAGGCGACCACCUGGACUAAUAC
rnacentral:rRNA from 1 species